CCUCCCUGGGAAGGGUUUUCCUGGCUCCUCACCAUGUUUUCUGGAGAGGAAGGAAGGGAGUGGAAGGGAACACCAAGAUGAGAUGGCUCUCUAGCCUUCUUCUCUUACUGAUGCUUUGACCUGAGGGUGCUCCUCUGCAAUCUACCAAGGUGCACAAUUUGUAAAAUUACCUACUGCCUCCAAUUCCAGCCUUCUCCCAUCCAUGGGAUUCUCCCUCCUGUUCUGUCUGGGGCCUUAUCUGAUACUGGCAGGACCAUUCCCUCGUGUGUUCAGUUAUGAAGCUGCUCCAGGAUAUUAAAACUUCUGCACUGCGAAGUUUUGAGCUGUCAGAGGAGCACAUUCCAGUGGUUCCAUCAUGCAGGCUUUGCUGCAGAUAAAAGAAUGGGAAAACAAACCUUAGUGCUGGAGCCCUGUGGCUCUGGUUCAGAGUCCUUCACACAACUGUUUGGGGUGACCCCUGUGCUGUGUUCUGACCUCCUGCAAGCAGCUGCUGGAAGAAUCACUCCCAUUCCCUGAGCUCACAGACUGGAGUAAUUUGCUGAUGUUGUACAAGGAAUUCUCUCCUGGAGACCUGGCUGGUGUGAUCAGAACUCACAUAUGGUAUCAGAACAAAGGGCCCUUCAGGCAAGUGGUUCUGUUUAUUUUGGCUCAGGUCGAUGUUGCUCCCCUCUCCCUGUGUCUUCUCCUCCCUGUGUGCUGUGCUCAUCUUUUUUCCUCUGACUUUGGAGCUCCUUGCUGUCAGAUCUAGGGUGGCCUGGCUUGUGCAGCAUCAGCACCACAGAUUUGAGGGGUGUGGGAGAAAAGUGUCCAACACACUGCUUGUAGUUAACAUGCUGUGAAGCCUUGCUUCCCUUUUCUCCUCCUUCCUUUUCACAACCUGGAGGCCAAGCAAAGAAACAAGUCUAAGGCUUCCUCUCUGCUCCCCCUCCUUUUCUGGUUAAAGAUAUUGUGAGUGGUUCGUGUGGACUCCUGUUUUUCAUAAACACUCUUGGUUCCACCAUCUACUAAUAAGUCUAAUCCUAAUAGCAGUUAUUGGCCUUGACUUAUUCCUUAUUUGCUUUGUAACAGCUGCUGGCAAAGCUGCUGCUCUCCUGAUGAAUUUUGUUGGUCUAAUUUUUGAUAGCACACUUACAGCCAAGGCCGACAGCCUGUUAGAAAAACCAGUGUCAUCUCUGCAUUUAAUACUCUGCCCCCAGCUCUUAUUUCAGCUAAGUAUUAAACAUCGCUCACAACGUUGCAAAAAUCAGUUGCAGUUUGCAAUAUUAGGAGGAAAAAAAAAUCACAGGAAGUAGUGGAUGAAAAGGUAAGUACUGAA